rnacentral:lncRNA from 1 species
CUGCCUGGCGGAGCCCAAGCAGGUGCUCCAGUGGGCUAGGCUUGCAGAGCCUUUGCAGACGUGGCACCUGCCCUUCGGAGGCCCAGGCUGGCCAGAUCCUGGACUGGAAUUACAAAUGGACACCAUCUCCCCUUCUUGUGAGGAUGCUACAGAUGGAAUUCAGGUCCUCAUACUUGAAAGGGGUUGUCUGUAACUGCAGAGCAGGUACCACUCUAAGGACACGGCAUAGGGGACUAUGGAUAACCAGGUUGGCAGUACCUGACCUUCCUCAUGUAAGGAGUAGACUUUCAGGAUGGCUGACCAGCAGCGUGACAACAGAAACUAGUUUAUGUAACUCACAGAGCCCCAUCCAGUUUUGACCUGGUUCUACGGCACCAUGAAAUGGCCACAGUUUAUAAAACCUUGCGAAGACCUAGAAGAUGAGGCUUGGGAGAGAGAUAGAACACCUCUGUGCAGGCCUGAUUACCAGAGUUUAGAUGCCUAGAAGCCACAUCAAACCGGGUGUGGUGUCGUUGUAUACCUUUGAUACCAGCACUCGGGAGGCAGAGGUAGGUGGAUCUGUGUGAAUUUGAGGCUAGCCUUGUCUACAUAGCAAGUUACAGGACAGCCAGAGCUACAUAAUAGACUCUGUCUCCAAACAAAAACAAAAACAAACAAACAAAACCCAACAACAACAGCAACAACAAAAAAACCAACAAAACCAAACUAUACAAUGUGGGUGCCUGUGGUGCAGCCUGAGUCUAUGUUGGUGUCUGUGGUCCAUGAUGCUGCUGUUGGUAGCCAUGUCUUCGUCCGUGGGGAUGCUGCAGCUCCAGGCUAACUUGAUGUCCGUGAUUCAUGUCGCUACCAGUCAUGCGGAAAUCUGUGGUCUUUGUUGCCUUCUGAAGCCGUGUUGAUGUUUGUGGGUUGGGCUGCUGCCGGGGACCCGGUGGGUGUUCAUGGCCUGUACUGAUGCCGAAGGCCAGGUGGGUUUCCAUGGUCAGCGCUGUUGCCAGAUACCAGGUGGAAGGCUACGGACUGUGUUCCCACUGUUCACAAAGGACAAGGAAGCGUCUUCUUCAAUGGCAUUGAUGCCUGCAGAAUCACAGUUGAGGAAGAGAGACAGGAGAAUUCUGGGACAACUCCCACCUGCCACUAUCCCCCUGACAAGAGUAACAAUGUGGAGAGGAAACAUCAAAAAGAACUCUUAGAAAUGGGAUGAGGAAGCUGGUGUGCAGCUCUCCAAAAGUGAUGGAAGUGGGCGUGGCUGGGGGGAAAGACUUUUCUUUAAGGGGCUGGCACUGGGAGUUUGGCCAUGCUCUAGUAAGUACAUGGGCAACACAAAUUGGACUUGUUUUAUUUUUAUCUUUUUUUUCCCCUUUUCUUUUGCAGGGAGGCCACAAGUGUAGGGGAGAGCGGGGAGGGGCAAGAAAGUGAGAUCUGGUGCAAAUAACCAAUAAAAAACAUUGUAUAAAAACAAAACAAAACCAAGAAGAAGCCACAUACAAAAGCUUGGCAGAGCUUGUUGAUCCCAGCCCGGAGGGGGUGGAGACAGGCGCUCCCUGGAGCAAGCCAACUAGGUAGACCGGAUGAUGUGUGAACUCUGGGUUCAACUGAAAGCCCUUGCCUCAUUAAAUAGAAGAUCCAAGUGACUUGAAUUUCAGUCACACACACACACACAUGCACACACAAACACUCACACAACAUGUGCAUGCAUCAUCCACACCCACAAACCUGCAAACAUGCACAUUACACAUAUAUUGCAAACAUACAUCCAAAACAAAAAACCCACAACCAAACCAACCAACCAAACAGAAAAACCAAAAAACCCUUUCAAUCCCCCAUAGGGAUUCAACUCUGUAAUACAAAGAAAUAGUGUAUAUUUAGGAAGAUGGAACUCUGUGUUUAUUUGAUCGUGACACAAUAUAAAAAGCCUUGUGACAUACUGUGUCCUAUCGAUAGAUAAGGUGAAUGAAAAGACAACGUAUUGAGAAAGAUGGCUCUGUAUGCAUGUAACCCUCAGCUUCACACUUUAUUUUUCAGGGAUCCGUCUAGACUACCAAGUAAAAGAGUUCUGAAAGGAAUAGAGGCAUUGAUGAUCAUUUCUUGGCUUUGUUGGCACUUACCAUCACCAAAGGGAGAGAAGGUUCAGGGCUACAUCUCUUGCUGUAAGAGGAAAAGGCUGGAAACUCUCUGGCAAAUCCUGGAGGAGACAGAAGACUCUGUGAAGGAUUUCUUUUGGGGCAGCUAGAACUUCCAAAAUCAGUGAGAUGGCCUUGUUGAGGGUGUGAAGUUACCAUGUUCCAGGUUGUCUCCCAUAGGGGCUCCAUUCCUGACUAGACAGGUGUACUCAUUACUCAUGUGCAUACUGAAGGGCUGAUACCCUGACAGGGGUACCACAGCCUCUAUGGGAGACAGAGAUGAACCUGCCUCGAGGCAAGAAAGAUUUCUAUCCACAGUUCCACUAAAUGUUUUCCAGGCUUGCAUAUCUCCUCCCGAAUAGCUCACAGUGUUGUAUGGAGCCUUUUAGACACAAGACAGUGACUUCAUGUGCCUGGUGGAGGUCUGAGUGUCAGCAAAUCUGGGCACUGGCCAAGGUGAGCAAGCUCCUCAGCAGUAGUGGUCAAAGAACAAGGCAAAAAUCUACCUAUGACUGUGUAAGAAACCACCAGAGGUGUCUAUGCAAGGCCAGGCAGGGAGAGCUCAGAAGCAUUCAAUGGGAGGUGGCACCUUAGGUGAGAUUCACACUUGAGCCUCCACACAUUAGUCAGCAUGAGGGGAAGACAUACAAGACAGCCAUCCAGGAAAAAAAAGGACAGCCCGAGAAAAGAAGACUAUGGGGUUGUUGUGUGACACUUUUCCUGGUCAUCUAGGGCAUGUUUACCCUAGAUAGAAAAUCAGUGACAGACCAAAUUUCGCCAAAAUUUGAGUAGGUGAACCAGUGGGUUAUUUGACUAACAGGAAUACAGGCAAGGGGUUACUUACAGGGCCACUACUCAGCUGUAUCAUGAAAACUUGCUCGUUCAUAAACACUAGAACUCUGAAUUCCCUGCAUGAUUUGCAGGUAGCUCAGCAGAUUGGAGAAUCUCUUGUGUACAGUUUGACUUCUGAGUUCUCUCAGAGAUCCUUACUGCUCAUAUAAUCUUGAGAAGGGAGGAAGCUUGUAUAUCUGGUAAGUUUCAGGGACUUCCUGAGUCUUCUGAGUUGUUGACUUCCUGAGACUUAACAGUCUCCCUUUGAAGCAUUUAAAGUCUUAAUGAACUUUCCUCCAGGAGGGAAUUGCUGUGACACGGGGCUCUCUCUUGCCUCAGAUCCUCAGACUAGGACAAGUAGAUAAGAGAACCUCUUUGCUCAUACUUCACAUUGCUUUGUACUGCAGUAGGUAAAUUCAAGAUCUACAGAAAAGCAAAGCGUUGAUGGACAGAUUCCUCAAUACUCUUCGUGCACAGGUUGAAGCUUUGGAUGCGCAUUUACUGACUACUACUCAGAAUCUCUCUUCAUCAUUAACUUUAAUCCACAUAUUUUACACAGACAGACAGACAGACAUGUGCGGUUUCCACCAACUGGGCUUUAUUCUGUGGAGGAAGCCACGUGGUAACAGAAAUACUCAGUGACAGUAUGACCCAGGUGACUUUUUAAUGGCCAUUACUUUAGGAGCUGAAAAGGAAAGGAACCUUCAGCAAGCAUCCCUGGGAGUUCUGACGUGUGUCAGUCUGGGUCCGGAAGGUGCUGGAAAGUAGGGAACUGAGGUCAUGCUUCCAGGCAGUUUGGAACAUAAUUGAGCAAGAGAGCUAAGGUUGUUUCAGACUUCUGAGUGAAAACAGACAUCUUGGGGCACAUGGGAAGAGAGGGUACCAAUGUUUUCAAGCAUGUGUGUUGUGUGGCCUGUCACACAUCUGGAGUGUCCACUCACUCCAGAUAGGGAACCAAUGACAGGCUGAAGUAAUGACUCUACCAAAGUCCUGUUUGACGAACCUCCGCGUUUAACCGGGUUAUUUAUAGGCACAUGGACAACUCAAAGACAACUCAUCGCCAAGUCCACCCUAGUGAAAGUGAGGACUCGCCAAAGCUGCAUCCCUGGGGCUCCCUGUAUGCUGAGCUCCACGGACAGGACAGUUGCAGUCUCUUUCAGGUGGCUGGGUUUGAAGAGGAGUCUGCUCCUCCCUGCAACUCUUUUACUGUUUUUAUAAUCUUGGGGAUUUGUGUAUCGUUUUGUUUAUUCUGGGCUUUAAGCCUUCCCCAUUCCCUUCUAGGUUCUAAAGGAGUCUGGGCAGAACUGUUUUGAUCCAGGGGGAAUUUCACCACGACAGUGUAACACAUCUGGGGCAGGGAGAACCACAGAGCAGUGGAGAGGGUGGGAGUCUAAAGAAUGAUGGACACACAACCAGGGUCCCCAACAAGCUCCCCAUCCCCUGUCUGUAUCUUUAGCUACAAAAAAACCCUCAGCUUGAAGAAUUGUAAUCUGUGUUCUCUUAAUCUCUGGUUGUUGAGUGCCAAGGUCCUGUGCCUUGAUUACAACAUGGCCAGCAAUGGCGCCACUCCCUCUCUGACAUUGAACGAUGCCUGCUCUAGCUGUUCCAGGUCAUUAAAUUCUUAUCUUUUA